rnacentral:sRNA from 1 species
UCCCGUCCGGUUAUCUGCGCGCAUCGCUCA